GUUUGAUCCUGGCUCAGAUUGAACGCUGGCGGUAUGCCUAACACAUGCAAGUCGAACGGUAACAGGAAGAAGCUUGCUUCUUUGCUGACGAGUGGCGGACGGGUGAGUAACGCGUGGGAAUCUACCCAGUAGUUGGGGAUAGCCCGGAGAAAUCCGGAUUAAAACCGAAUAAUAUCUACGGAUGAAAGGGUGCCUCUUCUUGAAAGCACUUGCUAUUGGAUGAGCCCGCGUUAGAUUAGUUUGUUGGUGGGGUAACGGCCUACCAAGACUGCGAUCUAUAGCUGGUUUGAGAGGAUGAUCAGCCACAUUGGGACUGAGACACGGCCCAGACUCCUACGGGAGGCAGCAGUGGGGAAUAUUGGACAAUGGGCGCAAGCCUGAUCCAGCAAUACCGCGUGUGUGAAGAAGGCCUUCGGGUUGUAAAGCACUUUUAUGUAGGAAGAAGGAUUGUAAGUUAAUAGCUUGCGAUUUUGACGGUACUACAAGAAUAAGCACCGGCUAACUCCGUGCCAGCAGCCGCGGUAAUAAGGGCGAAUU
rnacentral:rRNA from 1 species